AUUGAACGCUGGCGGCAUGCCUUACACAUGCAAGUCGAACGGUAACAGGUUAAGCUGACGAGUGGCGAACGGGUGAGUAAUGUAUCGGAACGUGCCCAGUCGUGGGGGAUAACUGCUCGAAAGAGCAGCUAAUACCGCAUACGACCUGAGGGUGAAAGCGGGGGAUCGCAAGACCUCGCGCGAUUGGAGCGGCCGAUAUCAGAUUAGGUAGUUGGUGGGGUAAAGGCCUACCAAGCCUACGAUCUGUAGCUGGUCUGAGAGGACGACCAGCCACACUGGGACUGAGACACGGCCCAGAGUCCUACGGGAGGAAGCAGUGGGGAAUUUUGGACAAUGGACGCAAGUCUGAUCCAGCCAUGCCGCGUGCGGGAAGAAGGCCUUCGGGUUGUAAACCGCUUUUGUCAGGGAAGAAAAGGUUCUGGCUAAUACCUGGGACUCAUGACGGUACCUGAAGAAUAAGCACCGGCUAACUACGUGCCAGCCGCCGCCGUAAGAC
rnacentral:rRNA from 1 species